AGAUAUUAGGUUGGUGCAAAAGUAAUUAUUGUUUUUGCCAUUGAAAGUAAUGGCAAAAAACCGCAUUAGUUUUGCACCAACCUGAUA
rnacentral:miRNA from 1 species